CUGGACGACUCUGCUUUGUAGACUCUGUAUUCGUGGAAGUCGGCAGAACACCAGGAGUGGUUGCGCCGCCGUGAUACAGCUUCCGACACCAGCGUUGUUGCACCGUCAACAAGUUGUGAUCCUUUGAGAACGUACUCUUGGCCGUGUGCUGGAUAUAUAAAAUCAUGGUCCGCCAAAUCGUGCCACACAAAUCCAUUUCUGUAGCUUCUUUUGG
rnacentral:misc_RNA from 1 species